GCCGGGGGCAGUGGCACAUGCCUGUAGUCCCAGCUACUCGGGAGGCUGAGGCUGGAGGAUCACUUGAGCCCAGGAGUUCUGGGCUGUAGUGCGCUAUGCUGACCGUGUGUUCGCACUAAGUUCAGCAUCAAUAUGGUGACCUCCCGGGGGCAGGAGACCACCAGGUUGCCUGAGGGAUGAAACAGCCCAGGUCAGAAACGGAGCAGGUCAAAACUCCUGUGCUGACCAAUGCCGAUCAAUAGUGGGAUUGUGCCUGUGAAUAGCCACUGCAUUCCAGCCUGGGCAACAUAGCAAGACCCCAUCUCA
rnacentral:SRP_RNA from 1 species